rnacentral:rRNA from 1 species
CCUACGGGAGGCAGCAGUGGGGAAUAUUGCGCAAUGGGCGAAAGCCUGACGCAGCGACGCCGCGUGAGGGAUGAAGGUCUUCUGAUCGUAAACCUCUGUCAGCAGGGAAGAACGGUCACUGUGCUAAUCAGCAGUGAAUUGACGGUACCUGCAAAGGAAGCACCGGCUAACUCCGUGCCAGCAGCCGCGGUAAUACGGAGGGUGCGAGCGUUAAUCGGAAUUACUGGGCGUAAAGCGCUCGUAGGCGGUAUGUCAAGUCAAGGGUGAAAUCCCCGCGCUCAACGUGGGAACUGCCUUUGAAACUGGCAAACUGGAGUGUGUGAGAGGAUAGUGGAAUUCCAGGUGUAGGAGUGAAAUGCGUAGAUAUCUGGAGGAACAUCAGUGGCGAAGGCGACUAUCUGGCACAUAACUGACGCUGAGGAGCGAAAGCGUGGGUAGCAAACAGGAUUAGAUACCCGGGUAGUC